UGGGGAAUAUUGCGCAAUGGGCGGAAGCCUGACGCAGCGACGCCGCGUGGGGGAUGACGGCCUUCGGGUUGUAAACCUCUUUCGACCGGGACGAAGGGUGACUGACGGUACCGGUAGAAGAAGCACCGGCCAACUACGUGCCAGCAGCCGCGGUAAUACGUAGGGUGCGAGCGUUGUCCGGAAUUAUUGGGCGUAAAGAGCUCGUAGGCGGUGUGUCACGUCGAUCGUGAAAACUUUCAGCUUAACUGGGAGCUUGCGGUCGAUACGGGCAUCACUGGAGUUCGGCAGGGGAGACUGGAAUUCAAGGUGUAGCGGUGAAAUGCGCAGAUAUCUUGAGGAACACCGGUGGCGAAGGCGGGUCUCUGGGCCGAUACUGACGCUGAGGAGCGAAAGCGUGGGGAGCGAACAG
rnacentral:rRNA from 1 species